UACGUAGGGUGCAAGCGUUGUCCGGAAUUAUUGGGCGUAAAGAGCUCGUAGGCGGUUUGUUGCGUUCGGCUGUGAAAUCCCGAGGCUCAACCUCGGGUCUGCAGUCGAUACGAGCAAACUAGAGUGUUGCAGGGGAGACUGGAAUUCCUGGUGUAGCGGUGAAAUGCGCAGAUAUCGGAAGGAACAUCAGUGGCGAAAGCGGCUUCCUGGACCAGCACCGACGUCAGGCACGAAAGCGUGGGGAGCAAACAGG
rnacentral:rRNA from 1 species